UUUGGAAAGUAAAAGUCGUAACAAGGUUUCCGUAGGUGAACCUGCGGAAGGAUCAUUACAGUAUUCUUUUUGCCAGCGCUUAAUUGCGCGGCGAAAAAACCUUACACACAGUGUUUUUUGUUAUUACAAGAACUCUUGCUUUGGUCUGGACUAGAAAUAGUUUGGGCCAGAGGUUUACUAAACUAAACUUCAAUAUUUAUAUUGAAUUGUUAUUUAUUUUAAUUGUCAAUUUGUUGAUUAAAUUCAAAAAAUCUUCAAAACUUUCAACAACGGAUCUCUUGGUUCUCGCAUCGAUGAAGAACGCAGCGAAAUGCGAUAAGUAAUAUGAAUUGCAGAUUUUCGUGAAUCAUCGAAUCUUUGAACGCACAUUGCGCCCUUUGGUAUUCCAAAGGGCAUGCCUGUUUGAGCGUCAUUUCUCUCUCAAACCUUCGGGUUUGGUAUUGAGUGAUACUCUUAGUCGAACUAGGCGUUUGCUUGAAAUGUAUUGGCAUGAGUGGUACUGGAUAGUGCUAUAUGACUUUCAAUGUAUUAGGUUUAUCCAACUCGUUGAAUAGUUUAAUGGUAUAUUUCUCGGUAUUCUAGGCUCGGCCUUACAAUAUAACAAACAAGUUUGACCUCAAAUCAGGUAGGACUACCCGCUGAACUUAAGCAUAUCAAUAUCCCGGAGGGAA
rnacentral:rRNA from 1 species